GCCCGGCUAGCUCAAUCGGUAGAGCGUGAGACUCUUAAGGAUUCUCCCGGAAAGUAAAAUCUCAAGGUUGUGGGUUCGACCCCCACGUCGGGCU
rnacentral:tRNA from 1 species